CCAGACUCCUACGGGAGGCAGCAGUGGGGGAUAUUGCACAAUGGGGGGAACCCUGAUGCAGCGACGCCGCGUGGAGGAAGAAGUAUCUCGGUAUGUAAACUCCUAUCAGCAGGGAAGAAAGAAGACGGUACCUGACUAAGAAGCCCCGGCUAACUACGUGCCAGCAGCCGCGGUAAUACGUAGGGGGCGAGCGUUAUCCGGAUUCACUGGGUGUAAAGGGAGCGUAGACGGCGACGCAAGUCUGGAGUGAAAGCCCGGGGCCCAACCCCGGGACUGCUCUGGAAACUGCGGCGCUGGAGUACGGGAGGGGCAGGCGGAAUUCCUGGUGUAGCGGUGAAAUGCGUAGAUAUCAGGAGGAACACCGGUGGCGAAGGCGACUUUCUGGACUGUAACUGACGCUGAGGCACGAAAGUGUGGGGAGCAAACAGGAUUAGAUACCCUUGUAGC
rnacentral:rRNA from 1 species